rnacentral:rRNA from 1 species
UCACACCCGUUCCCAUCCCGAACACGGUAGUUAAG